CCGAAGGCAGCCAAAUGCCUCGCAAUCUAAUCGGUGAGAGGCAUGAAUGGAUUAACGAGAUUCCCACCGUCCCUCUCCACUAUGUAGCGAAACCACGGCGAAGGGAAGGGGCCCGGAACAAACAGCGGGGACAGAAGACCGUGUUGAGCUGGCCCCUAAUCCGACUUUGUGAAACGACUGAAGAGGUGUAGAAUGAGCGGGAGCUGCGGCGCCGGUGAAAUACCACUACUUUUAACGUUAUUUUACUUAUUC
rnacentral:rRNA from 1 species